ACUGACAUUCAUGUGUUGCAUGUGUAUUCAUGUGCUUCCCAGUGUGGAUCUCUCUGAAGUUAGACUAAAUGUUGAGUGCAUCUGGACUCUUACCAGGAUACUGGAACAGGUGUGUCAGAUCAGAAGUCCCAUUCAUUCAAUCAGAAAAAGUCAUGCAUGCUGGCAUUUGGACUCCCUUCAUUCCUGGAAAGAAACAGUGAGAAGCAAUGAGAAACAUCAAGUGUAAAGCAUGUACCUGAAACAGAGUGAACAUUUGUUUUAAGAGCACAAAAGGUUACAUGUCCAGAUUUAAUGAACUUCUGCACAAGCAAUGCUCCUUUGAGUGUGUCUGGCAUGGAGUGCUACGUUGGAAUACUAGGCUUUGGCUCCCUCCAACCCUUUAAGCUUCCCACAGCCCAUGCAGAAGCUGAUGGCAUCCAUUUGCUGUUCCCUCUUGAAGUUGCAGAUCCAGCGCUGUCUUCUUACAACCAGAUGUGCACUGCAGAGUUUUGUGCUUCCCGGAGUGAGCCAUAGUGUGGCAGGCUGGAGCUGCGCUGGCCUCAGCCUUCGUCUUGCUCUCAACAUCGAGGAAUGGCUUCAGUUUAUUCCAGCAUACGUGUCUACAUGAGACCGUCAUGUGCUAAAACCGUGACCAUCAUUUGUGAUAGAAGAGAACUUGCUGUUAUGUAAUACAUCAUUAAAGCUAGAAAUUUUUGGGAUACCAUCCAGCUGAUUUAACACUAUGAACACUGAAAAAGCCAUUAGAAACGCUGAGUGCAUCAGUUCAGUGGAACCCAAAAUACUGAGCUCUGUGAAUACUCCACCAGCUACAGAACAGGCUGCCUGGCUCUCUGACCACAGACUGCAAAACUCUGAGCAGCAAAUAGCACUUAGAUGCUCAGUUAGAAUGGACAACAUCAGCAAUUGAAUGAAAGUUUGAUACAGAAAAACUGAAUUAGAGAGGAAGAUGGAAAGAUUUCUUUUUAGGAGUCCUCACAGGAAGAUACUGCAAGAAGUCUGCAAUAACAAGGGAGAAAUCACCACACUAGUUUCUAUAUAGCAAGAUGAUCUUCAAGAAAAGUUGGAUUUAUAAACCAAAUAAAAAUAUACCUUGAAAAGCAGACAUAGAAGUUCAACAUCAAAAGAAAGAAAAAAAAGAAUCCACAAUGAACUCAGGAAUAAGAUUUUCUUAUGUGAUCUUAAGAACAGUAAUGAAGAAGGAAAUUCAGUAUAAUCUGUAUUUCUGUUUUGGAUUUUGAAAACAUUGCCUUAUAAGCUAAGAAACCUUGAAGUAUAUUAAAAUAUAUUACUUUUACUCCUUCUCUAGAAAUACAUGGCAUUGAAAGAUCUCAAAUGUGAAGUAAUUUUUAUUCUGUAAAAAAAAA